rnacentral:rRNA from 1 species
GAUGAACGCUGGCGGCGUGCCUAAUACAUGCAAGUCGAGCGAACGGACGAGAAGCUUGCUUCUCUGAUGUUAGCGGCGGACGGGUGAGUAACACGUGGAUAACCUACCUAUAAGACUGGGAUAACUUCGGGAAACCGGAGCUAAUACCGGAUAAUAUUUUGAACCGCAUGGUUCAAAAGUGAAAGACGGUCUUGCUGUCACUUAUAGAUGGAUCCGCGCUGCAUUAGCUAGUUGGUAAGGUAACGGCUUACCAAGGCAACGAUGCAUAGCCGACCUGAGAGGGUGAUCGGCCACACUGGAACUGAGACACGGUCCAGACUCCUACGGGAGGCAGCAGUAGGGAAUCUUCCGCAAUGGGCGAAAGCCUGACGGAGCAACGCCGCGUGAGUGAUGAAGGUCUUCGGAUCGUAAAACUCUGUUAUUAGGGAAGAACAUAUGUGUAAGUAACUGUGCACAUCUUGACGGUACCUAAUUAGAAAGCCACGGCUAACUACGUGCCAGCAGCCGCGGUAAUACGUAGGUGGCAAGCGUUAUCCGGAAUUAUUGGGCGUAAAGCGCGCGUAGGCGGUUUUUUAAGUCUGAUGUGAAAGCCCACGGCUCAACCGUGGAGGGUCAUUGGAAACUGGAAAACUUGAGUGCAGAAGGGGAAAGUGGAAUUCCAUGUGUAGCGGUGAAAUGCGCAGAGAUAUGGAGGAACACCAGUGGCGAAGGCGACUUUCUGGUCUGUAACUGACGCUGAUGUGCGAAAGCGUGGGGAUCAAACAGGAUUAGAUACCCUGGUAGUCCACGCCGUAAACGAUGAGUGCUAAGUGUUAGGGGGUUUCCGCCCCUUAGUGCUGCAGCUAACGCAUUAAGCACUCCGCCUGGGGAGUACGACCGCAAGGUUGAAACUCAAAGGAAUUGACGGGGACCCGCACAAGCGGUGGAGCAUGUGGUUUAAUUCGAAGCAACGCGAAGAACCUUACCAAAUCUUGACAUCCUUUGACAACUCUAGAGAUAGAGCCUUCCCCUUCGGGGGACAAAGUGACAGGUGGUGCAUGGUUGUCGUCAGCUCGUGUCGUGAGAUGUUGGGUUAAGUCCCGCAACGAGCGCAACCCUUAAGCUUAGUUGCCAUCAUUAAGUUGGGCACUCUAAGUUGACUGCCGGUGACAAACCGGAGGAAGGUGGGGAUGACGUCAAAUCACCAUGCCCCUUAUGAUUUGGGCUACACACGUGCUACAAUGGACAAUACAAAGGGCAGCGAAACCGCGAGGUCAAGCAAAUCCCAUAAAGUUGUUCUCAGUUCGGAUUGUAGUCUGCAACUCGACUACAUGAAGCUGGAAUCGCUAGUAAUCGUAGAUCAGCAUGCUACGGUGAAUACGUUCCCGGGUCU